AGUGAACGCUGGCGGUAGGCCUAACACAUGCAAGUCGAACGGCAGCACAGUAAGAGCUUGCUCUUACGGGUGGCGAGUGGCGGACGGGUGAGGAAUACAUCGGAAUCUACUUUUUCGUGGGGGACAACGUAGGGAAACUUACGCUAAUACCGCAUACGACCUACGGGUGAAAGCAGGGGAUCUUCGGACCUUGCGCGAUUGAAUGAGCCGAUGUCGGAUUAGCUAGUUGGCGGGGUAAAGGCCCACCAAGGCGACGAUCCGUAGCUGGUCUGAGAGGAUGAUCAGCCACACUGGAACUGAGACACGGUCCAGACUCCUACGGGAGGCAGCAGUGGGGAAUAUUGGACAAUGGGCGCAAGCCUGAUCCAGCCAUACCGCGUGGGUGAAGAAGGCCUUCGGGUUGUAAAGCCCCUUUGUUGGGAAAGAAAAGCAGCAGGUUAAUACCCCGCUGUUCUGACGGUACCCAAAGAAUAAGCACCGGCUAACUUCGUG
rnacentral:rRNA from 1 species